rnacentral:misc_RNA from 1 species
UCUGACUUAUAGUCCAGCGGUCUCGGUAGAGUGCCCAACUUAAUGCUGGUAACUACCGACGAGGGUUGCGCUCGUUGCGGGACUUAACCCAACAUCUCACAACACGAGCUGACGACAGCCAUGCAGCACCUGUCUCCGCGUCCCCGAAGGGAACGCCCACUUUCAUGGGUUAGCGCGGGAUGUCAAACCUAGGUAAGGUUUUUCGCGUAGCAUCGAAUUAAACCACAUGCUCCACCGCUUGUGCGGGCCCCCGUCAAUUCCUUUGAGUUUUAAUCUUGCGACCGUAGUCCCCAGGCGGAAUACUUAAUGCGUUAGCUGCGUCACCGAGACAAUUAGGAAUCCCGACAACUAGUAUUCAUCGUUUAGGGCGUGGACUAC